UUAAGUCGCAGGGGUAGGUGACUUCGGUUACCUGAGAUCCGGCACACGGGCUGCGCAGGCGCGGUAUACAAUCUACCUUUUACAGCAUGGAUAGCCCAGAGAAAUUUGGAUUAAUACGCUCUAACCUUUUUAGAAUGGUAUCAAUUUGAUUAUUAAAGUUUCCAACCGGUCAAAAGAUUGAAUAUGCGGAGUUUGCAGUCCCGUUAGCCAGGAUGGUAAGGUAACGGGCCUACCAAGGGGUAGGAGGGCCUGAGGGUCCUGAGAGGGAGAUCCCCCACAGAUGGUACUGAAGACACGGUCCAGCACUACCUACGGGAGGGAGCAGUGAGGAAUAUUGGAACAAUGGGCGGCAAGCCUGAUCCAGCCAUGCCGCGUGCAGGAAUGAAGGUCCUAUGGAUUGUAAACUGCUUUUAAUACAGGAAUGAAACACCUCUACGUGUAGCAGACCUGACGGUAACUGUAUGAAUAAUGGACCGGCUAACCUCCCGUGCCAGCAGCCGCGGGUAAUACGGAGGCGUCCAAGCGGUUAUCCGGAAUCAUUGGGUUUAAAGGGUCCCGUAGGUCGGCCAAAUAAGUCAGUGGUGAAAGCCCAUCGCUGCAACGAUGGUAACGGCCAUUGUAUACUGUUUGGCUUGAAUUAUUAGGAAGUAACUAGAAUAUGUAGUGUAGCGGUGGAAAUGCUUUAGAGAUUAACAUGGAAUACCACAUUGCGAAGGGCAGCGUUACUACUAAUAUAUUGACGCUGAUGGACGAAAGCGUGGGGAGCGAACAGGAUUAGAUACCCUGGUAGUCCACGCCGUAAAGCGAUGGAUACUACGCUGUUCGGAGCAAUCUGAAGUGGCUAAUGCGAAGUGAUCUUCAUGGGGGGCCUGGGGAGGACGUUCGCAACCAUGAAAUAACUCAGAGGAUUCUUUUAGCUGACGUCUUACAUUCGGCGGAAUUACCUGGG
rnacentral:rRNA from 1 species